rnacentral:rRNA from 1 species
UAAGGAAUAUUGGUCAAUGGGCGGGAGCCUGAACCAGCCAUGCCGCGUGCAGGAGGACUGCCCUAUGGGUUGUAAACUGCUUUUGCACGGGAACAAACACCGGCACGCGUGCCGGCUUGAGUGUACCGUGAGAAUAAGGAUCGGCUAACUCCGUGCCAGCAGCCGCGGUAAUACGGAGGAUCCGAGCGUUAUCCGGAUUUAUUGGGUUUAAAGGGUGCGUAGGCGGCAUGCUAAGUCAGUGGUGAAAGACGGUGGCUCAACCAUCGCAGUGCCGUUGAUACUGGUGUGCUUGAAUGCGGAUGAGGUAGGCGGAAUGUGGCAAGUAGCGGUGAAAUGCAUAGAUAUGCCACAGAACACCGAUUGCGAAGGCAGCUUACCAAAGGCGAUAUUGACGCUGAUGCACGAAAGCGUGGGGAUCGAACAGGAUUAGAUACCC